rnacentral:lncRNA from 1 species
UUUUUUUUUUUUUAUAAAUAAGAUUAAAAGGAGUAUAAAACAUUUCCAUAAUCAAUAAUUUUAGAUUAGUGUUACCUUUAAUGGGGAUUAUGUAUAUUCUAAUAGCUUUCAAUUUGAAAAGUAGAUCUUAUAAUACAAAUAUAUGAUAAAUAAUUAUUGCAAAUAAUCGAUAAGUAUAAAAAAUUAAAAUGUUAUUAUUAAAUAAAAAUAAAAUAAAAUUUAUAAUAAAUAAAUACCGUACUUUACUAAAGUUUUGUUUGGUAAUAUCAUAUUUUGAAUUUGUAGUUUGUGUUUUAUAACAUAUAAAUUUAUAUGCUUUAAAAAAACUUGUUUGAUAUUUCUCAUCAGCUUAUAAUUUAUUUUAGCUGAAUUAUAACUUAAUAAGUUAAUUCAAAUAAUUUAUAAUUAAUCAUUUGCUCUUUCGAUUUUACUUCUGAUAUUUCAAAAUUAAAAAGAAAAUGAUUAAAUAAAUAUGUAUAUUAUUUUACAAUUAUAAAUUAGUUGAUCCCCUAAUUGUAUUAAAUACUGCAAAUUCAUUUAACUAAUUUAUUUGUUAGCAACUAAUUUAUAAACUACUCACAUUGCUAUAAGUUCAGAGCUAUAAACUAGUUUAUAAAACUUUUUUUAUAUGACAGAACCUAAAAUAUUUUUUCCUUAAAUAUUAAACUUCUUUUUAAAUUUUUAACAAGAGUACCGAUGAGACUGAUAUAAUACUUUGUUCGAUAACAAAAAGCUCAGGAAAGCAAAGAAUAUAUACUUUAUUAAAAUUAUUUGUCUUCUUUCAAGGGAAAGGUCAAAGGUUAUUCUUUCUAAGAAAGUGGCAAACUAAUCUUUUGGCAAUAUAUGUUCUCAAAGAACACAAGACAAAUACUCCUCGGAAUCAAAUAUAAAGAAAAUGGUAAAACAUAUUUAUAAUAUUUGGUCUAAAUUUGUACUAAAUACAUAAAUUUGGUUUGACAAACAUUUGCUUAUAUAAAUAACUAUUUUUCUUAUAAAAAUAUAAAAAAUUAAUAUAGUUAAUAAAAUUUAAAAAUUAAAUGUUUACUAAUAACAUUAUUAUUAAUAGUAAGAUAAGAGUUGAAUUCUAACGAAAGUUUAUAAACUCGCAUUUUAUUAGAUAAUAUGUAAUAUUAUGAGUAAGUUAUGAAUCAUGGAUUCUAAUACAUAUGUGCAUGAGAAAGUAGAAUCAUGAGUGCAUGGCUACGGAGAUCAUGCACAUUCAUGCAUCAUCAUCGUGUAAACUCAAUAUAUAGAGAUGUCUUACAUUAUAAACAAACUAAUCAUUUAAACAAAAGUUGAAUGAAUAGGAUUCACUCAAAAUUUAAUAUGGUAUCAUUCAUUGGUUUUGACCUCUUCCACUUUAACAAUUCUCUAACCGUUUCAACCGUUUUUCGAUUAGCUCUAACAAAUCAAACUUCAUCUUCUACCUUUCUCUUGGAGCUACCAUGGUGGAUUCCUCCUCAGCUGCAAUCGUUGGCUCACUUGCACUACCAACAUCUGAAUUUCUUGGCAAUACUUCUGAUUCAAAUUCAUCUUGUUAUUUCGGCCUGAAAUUCUAAAUCAAGCUUCAAGAGAACAAUUGUCUCAUAUGAAACUAGCAAGUUGAAGGCGUCAUACUCACUCAUAGAGUGCACAAAUCAAUAGUGAACCCUCAAACUCUACCGAAGUUCAAGAAUGAACAAUAUCGCGUUGAUGUGAAUGUAUCUGCAGAAUAUGAAACUUGGAUUGUUCAGGUCGUGUUCAUUUGUCUCCUUUCGACCAUCUUUGAAUCUGUAUUACCAACGAUGUUGUCUUGCAAACACACUUUCUAAGUAUGGGAUAAAAUACAUCGCUACUUCAAUGUCCACAUGAAACUCGUGUCAAGCAACUGCAGGUUGAACUGAUAUCUAUGAAGAAAUGAAACAAAAUUGUAACUGAAUAUGUUCUUGUUGUGAAAUCGUUUGCUAACUCGCUCUUAGCAGUUGGUGAUUUUGUCACCGAACAAGAUCAGAUUGAUUCAAUUCUUUAUGGCUUAUCUGAAUAGUACAACUCUUUUUUUCAUGCAAAUGUAUGGGAGUCAUGAAACUCCAUUGUUCUUUGAUGUUGAAGCACUUAUCAAUGCGGUCUAAAUUGAUUCGGUUUUUUACAAUAUUUUUAUUGAGCCAUACAUACAUACACAUAUAGAGAACAACAUAAUAACUUUGUGUUUCAUCAUUCAUGCAUUACCAAAUAACAUCAAAACUCAUCAUAUUUAGACAAAAACUUCUCAUACGAUAUACAAAAAUCAGAUUAAACAAAAAUAGAAUAAAAAACAUAAAAUAGUAGCAUAAAACAAUAUCAAAGAUAUUAUAAUAAAAUAGAAAAAAAUAGAGGAUGAGAAAGAUUAGAAAAGAUGAAAAAGAAAGAAUAGAAGAAAUGUAAGAUUAUAAAAGAAAUGUGCGAUAAAAAUGUAAUUGGAAGAGAAAAUAGUAACAUAAAAAUGAAAAGAUUGAGAGAUUAUAGUAAAACAGGAGAGACUUACAUUACAAAUAAAAUAAAAGUAAUGCGUGAUACUAUUAUGAUAGAUUUGAGAAGGCUGAAAUUGAUACUCUAAAUGUAAGUAAGAGAAAAUAGUUAAUAGUUAUAAAGUUAAAAUAUAAUAAGUUUGGAGUUUGAGUUGGAUGAUGGAUAAAUGAAAUUUAUAUUGUAACAUACUGUUUGAUUUGGUUUAGUUUGAUUUUAAAAAAGAACUUAAAAUAAAAAAUGUUCUUUUAAAAAUAUCAUGCAUUCAAUUAUUCAAAAGUUUAAACACAAUUAUUUUUAAUACAAAAUUUUAUACUCAUUAACACAUAGUUUUAAAAAACACAAGCUAGUAAAACCCCUAAAAUAAUACUACAUCCCCAACAUGAUUUAUAAGAUAUUUAAAUAUUCUAAAUAUCCUAAAAUAAUACUACUAAAUAUUUAUAAGAUAUUUAAAUAUUCUAACAUUUACAUCUUUUCAAAACCCAACCUAAAUACCCUUCUCUUGAGUCAAUUCAUUUCAUUAAAGAAUCUUACAUCCCCAACAUAAAAAGCAAGUGGCUUUUCACCAAAACAAAAAAACCACAUCUCAUAUCAUGUGGUAGACAGACAGAUUCACAAACACAUUCUCUCUCCCUUCUUCCCAAUUCCCAUCCCAUACUCACAUCACAUUCACAUUCACAUUCAAAAUCUCAACAAAAAUAUUUAUUUUUUCACAAAAAAUAAAAUAAAAAACUAAACUUUUUUACAUAUAAAUUUCAAAACAGUCCAAAUAUCCCUCCCCCUCUUCAACCCUUUUUCUCUAUCACCUUCUCCAAUAAUGUUAACCCUUUCUUCAUUGUUUUAUCUUCUUUUUUUCAUACUCACCCUUCAAUGUCACAUAGCUUCUUCAGCUAUUCUAUACAGUUUGAAAAACCGCCACAACAAUCCUCACCAUCAAAGACCAAUGAUUCAUGCUAACCAAACUAACUGUGCAUUGUUUGUAGGAACAUGGAUUCCUGAUGACACUUACCCUUUUUACCAAUCCUUAAACUGUCCCAUGAUAGAUCCGCAGUUCAACUGCAAAAUGUUUGGUCGUCCUGAUACUAAUUACCUUAAAUAUAGAUGGAGACCACUCAACUGUGAGCUUCCAAGGUAACAAGAGUCAUAAAGAUUGAAUUUUUUUGUUUUGUUUUGUGCUGUGUUGUUUGUUUGUUUGUUUCCUCUGAAUGGUUCUGUAGCUUGCUGUUGUUAGGUUCAAUGGUGUUCAGUUUCUGAUGGGAAUGAAAGGGAAGAGUAUUAUGUUUGUUGGUGAUUCUUUGGGGAGGAAUCAAUGGGAAUCAUUGAUUUGUAUGAUAUAUACUGCAGUGCCUCAGUCACAAACACAGCUUGUUAGGGGAGAGAUUCUCUCAACCUUCAGAUUCUUGGUGAGUUUUUCUUUUGUUGAAUUGAUUAUGAUUACCCACCUAAUAUUUCCUUAAAAGUUUCAAUUUUUUAAAUUGGGGUUUUGUGAUUUUUUUUUUCAAUUUUUGUUCACAUGAAAAAGGAAAGUUUUUUAGCCCUCUUUGUUAAUCCUCUUUAAAAAUCAGGGGGAGUUAGGUUAUUGUUAUUAUUGAUGAUAGAACAAAGUAUCUAGUGGAAAAAGGUGUUUUUGAUGGGGACACAAAAGUGUAGUAACUAUUAGGCCAUUAUUUAUGUAUUGGGCUAGUUGAUGCAAACUGGAAGCAAAUCAGUGUUCAUGCUGUUGAUGCAUGUAUAAAGUAAAGUAGACUUAUGUCACAUGAGUGUCACAUUUUACAGCUGCAAAACAAAAGUUUUUGAAUGAGUUUUGAUAUGGUAUGUGCAGGACUAUGGUGUGACCAUUUCUUUUCAUAAAGCUCCUUAUCUGGUGGAGAUUGAUGUGGCCCAAGGGAAGAGAGUUUUGAAGCUUGAGGAGGUAGAUGGGAAUGGAGAUGCAUGGAGGGAUGCUGAUAUAUUGUCCUUUAACUCUGGACAUUGGUGGACACAUCAAGGAUCUCUUAAAGGGUAGGCAAAUGCCUUUCUUUAAUUCACUUUUAUUAUAAAAGUUUAUUCAACAAAAUGUUUAUUGUUCCGACCAAAAUAGUCUUACAUUGCUUGAAAGUCGAGGCUAAUGAUAAUUUAUAUACAAGAGUCACACACCUCAAUCCAACGAGGUGUCUUUCUAAAGGAGGGGUCAUUUAGAAAAGGUGUCUCGUUGGUUGAGGUGUAUGAGUGUCAUAUAUAAGCUACAGGUAGCCUUGAUCCCAAGCAACGUGAGACUAUUUUGGCCAACUCGGAACAGUUGCCCCCAGUCGAGGCUAAGGGGCACGGACAAGCGGUUAAAACCGUCUCCAUGAGAUCUAGCGUCUCAUGAGGGUGACCGUCCGAUCAUAUCCAACGGUGGGAACUGUGCUGCAGGCCGGAAUGACUGUCCUCAGCUGGUGUAAGGUCUCACCUAUUCUGCGCCCCUUUCUGUGUGAUGCAAGGUCUCACCUAUUCUGCGCCCCUUUCUGUGUGAUGCUUGCUAUUGGGCCUUUCGUCCUUGUCGUGGGUCUAAGCAGCCCAUGACACUUACAAUAUUAGUUCAUUUGUCUAUAUCUUAAUUUUACAAUUUCAUAAUAAUUUUUAUGAUCUUUUAAGAAUAGAACUUUAAAGUAAUUUGAUUUUUGGGGUUAUGAUUAAGUGCAGGUGGGAUUAUAUAGAAUUAGGAGGCAAAUACUACCAAGAUAUGGAUCGUUUAGAAGCAAUGGAAAGAGGUUUGAAAACAUGGGCUAAUUGGGUGGACACUAAUAUUGAUCAAAGAAGAACCAAAGUGUUCUUUCUUGGAAUUUCUCCGACACACACCAAGUAGGGAUUCUGACUCUCUCUCUCUCUCUAUAUUGUCUUUACCUGAUUUCUCUCUCAUAAAUUAUUUUGUACUAUAACAUUAUUGUGUCUGUUGAACUGGAAAAUCAUAUCCUAAGCUUAGAAAUAUCUUUGGUGCUAUGAUUGGCAUUAAGGGCUAAAGAGACCUCAAAAGAAAGGGCUUGAGGCCCAUUUUCUUGACCUAUUGCAAAUUGAGUUGUAUAUAAGUUAUGCUAAAUCUCAAUCACAUUGCUAUGCAGCCCAAACGAAUGGAUCUAUGGAUCAACAGCAGCAACAUCAAAGAAUUGCUAUGGUGAAACUGCACCAAUCAGUGUUACUGGCACAUCAUACCCCGGUGUAUUUCCAGAACAAAUGAAGGUUGUAGACAUGGUGAUUAGAGAAAUGAACAACCCUGUUUAUCUACUAGACAUCACAAUGUUAUCAGCAUUUAGAAAAGAUGCACAUCCUUCAGUUUAUAGUGGCGAUUUAAGUCCUCAACAAAGAGCUAACCCUAUUUACUCUGAUUGCAGUCAUUGGUGUCUUCCUGGUUUACCUGAUACUUGGAAUGAAUUGUUCUACACCAUAUUGUUCUAUUAAAUUUUUGUACUUUAGUACUAGAUGAUUAAUUAACACAAUUAUUUAUCACUAAUUUUUUGAUGUUUUUUAAGUAGUUAAUGCAUUUAUUAUUAUUACUACUAUUUGAAAACUUGUAUCCGGCCUUGGACAAAUUCAAAUUCAAGGGGACCAAUUCUACUGUCCACUAGUAGGGUCCGUCCGUUUAAAGUUAGAGCAAAACUCUGUAUGGAUUGGUUCAACACAAAGAUUGUUAGUAUUUAGCAGGAUUCAGAGAUACUUUUAGGAUCUAACCCUUCGCUAACAGACCAACUCUUCGGGUUCAGAUGUUUAGAUAAUGAAGUUAUGUAAAGACAUAUAUUUUCAAGUAGUAUUCAAAUAGUGAAACUUGCAUUCAAAUUUAACAUAAUACACAACUCUUCUUAAAAAGCCAAAUUACAAUCUGAAAGUGUUCAAAUCACCACAUCAAUUAAAAGCAAAGACAAGAUGUGGAUUACACAACAUCAAAACACAUAAAUACAGCUAAGUAGAAAGGCUUAUACAUACAAAUGUACCUGGAUAAAAUACAUAACAGGCAAAUUUUCCCUUUAUGUUAUUCUUUUUAUUGAAUACUGAUAGUAUAAUAAUAUCUUGGUUUUUUAAGCAAGUAAUACUUGCUAUGUCUCAUACUAGGUUUGAAUGGCAACUCCAAGAGGAGAAACUCCUAUCUUUGGUAUAAUCUUCUCUGGCUCUACACCUUUUGUAACUGGGUUGAUUUGGUGUUCAUAAGCUGAAACAUGCACUCCAAGUGCUGCUCUACCAGAAGGAUCCAGGUUGUUUGACCAUGAAGCAUCCCAUUCAAUAGCUUUCUCUGUGCUGCAUGCAACACUAGGUCCUCCAGGAACUGUA